UACGGAGGAUGCGAGCGUUAUCCGGAUUUAUUGGGUUUAAAGGGUGCGCAGGCGGGCUUUUAAGUCAGCGGUGAAAUCUGGACGCUUAACGUCCAAACUGCCGUUGAAACUGGGAGUCUUGAGUAUGGAUGAAGUAGGCGGAAUUCGUUGUGUAGCGGUGACAUGCAUAGAUAUAACGAGGAACUCCGAUUGCGUAGGCAGCUUACUAAGCCAUAACUGACGCUCAUGCACGAAAGCGUGGGGAUCAAACAGG
rnacentral:rRNA from 1 species